rnacentral:rRNA from 1 species
CUACGGGUCGCUGCAGUGGGGAAUAUUGGACAAUGGGGGAAACCCUGAUCCAGCAAUGCCGCGUGUGUGAAGAAGGCCUGCGGGUUGUAAAGCACUUUCGGUUGGGAGGACUGCUUCUAGCACUAAUAUUGUUGGAAGUUGACGUUACCUUCAGAAGAAGCACCGGCUAACUCCGUGCCAGCAGCCGCGGUAAUACGGAGGGUGCAGCGUUAAUCGGAAUUACUGGGCGUAAAGCGCGCGUAGGCGGCUAGAUCAGUCGGGUGUGAAAGCCCCGGGCUUAACCUGGGAACUGCAUCCGAUACUGUCUAGCUUGAGUACAGGAGAGGAGAGUGGAAUUCCACAUGUAGUGGUGAAAUGCGUAGAUAUGUGGAGGGACACCAAUGGCGAAGGCAGCUCUCUGGCCUGAUACUGACGCUGAGGUGCGAAAGCGUGGGGAGCAAACAGGAUUAGAUACCCCUAGUAGUC